AUUCAGCUGAAGAGUCCCAAAGAGGAUGAAACGGACUUCCUGGAU
rfam:Schistosoma rodhaini strain Burundi genome assembly, scaffold: SROB_scaffold0006239